GUCUACAGCCAUGCUAUCUUGAACAAGCUUGAUUCCUCUGAUCUUGGAAGCUAACCAGGAUCGGUCCUGGUUAGUAUUUGGAUGGGAGACCACCUAGGAAGACCAGGUGUUGUAGGCA
rnacentral:rRNA from 1 species